UACGUAGGGGGCGAGCGUUGUCCGGAUUUAUUGGGCGUAAAGAGCGUGUAGGCGGUUCGGUAAGUCUGUCGUGAAAUCCUGAGGCUCAACCUCGGGCGUGCGAUGGAUACUGCCGGGCUAGAGGGUGGUAGAGGCGAGUGGAAUUCCCGGUGUAGCGGUGAAAUGCGCAGAUAUCGGGAGGAACACCUAUGGCGAAGGCAGCUCUCUGGGACGUUACUGACGCUGAGACGCGAAAGCGUGGGGAGCAAACAGG
rnacentral:rRNA from 1 species